AGCGAACGCUGGCGGCAGGCUUAACACAUGCAAGUCGAGCGGGCCCUUCGGGGUCAGCGGCAGACGGGGGAGUAACACGUGGGAACGUACCCUUUGGUUCGGAAUACCGCUGGGAAACUAGCGCUAAUACCGCAUACGCCCUUUUGGGGAAAGGCUUGCUGCUGGAGGAUCGGCUCGCGUCUGAUUAGCUUGUUGGGGGGGUAAUGGCAUAGCAAGGCAACGAUGAGUAGCUGGUCUGGGAGGGUGAUUAGCCACACUGGGACUGAGACACGGCCCAGACCCGGACGGGAGGGGGGGGAGGGGAAGGGAAUAUUGGAGGAGGGGGGCAAGCGUGAUCAAGCCGUGCCGGGGGAGUGAUGAAGGCGGUAGGGUUGUAAAGCUCUUUUGUCCGGGACGAUAAUGACGGUACCGGAAGAAUAAGCCCCGGCUAACUUCGUG
rnacentral:rRNA from 1 species